ACCCUGGGGGUUGGUGGAAGGGUGGUCUAAACUGUUGGCUUUCGACCGAUAUGACCCAGGAUCGAAUCCUGCAUUGGGCA